rnacentral:rRNA from 1 species
UACGGGGGGGGCAAGCGUUGUCCGGAAUUAUUGGGCGUAAAGAGCUCGUAGGCGGUUCGUCGCGUCGGCUGUGAAAACCCGAGGCUCAACCUCGGGCCUGCAGUCGAUACGGGCGGACUGGAGUUCGGCAGGGGAGACUGGAAUUCCUGGUGUAGCGGUGAAAUGCGCAGAUAUCAGGAGGAACACCGGUGGCGAAGGCGGGUCUCUGGGCCGAUACUGACGCUGAGGAGCGAAAGCGUGGGGAGCGAACAGG